rfam:Pongo abelii chromosome 4.
GCCAGGCGCGGUGGCGCGCGCCUGUAAUCCCAGCACUUUGGGAGGCCGAGGCAGGCGGAUUACUUGAGGUCAGGAGUUCGAGACCAGCCUGGCCAACAUAGUGAAACCCUGUCUCUA